rfam:Lasius niger Lnig_2.1_8440, whole genome shotgun sequence.
UAAUCGGCCCUUUUCAGGGCCAAAAAAUUUUUAGAACAAUAAUUUU